ensembl:lncRNA
UGUAACCCAUGUGAAAUACAGGGCUGCAAAAUCCCUUUUUGUUAUUUAAGGCUGUAGCCUGUUAUUGUCACAAGGGGGUGCUGUGAUGCAGUCUUGUGUUCUGACGACCUUGCGUCUAGUGCGCAGGAAGCUUUACCUGUCUCUUCCUGUGAGAUCUUCCCUCUGAUGGCGGUCAAGUGCGUGUCGGAGCGCAUGGAAAAUAAUAUUUUGAUAUGCAAUGCUGCAACCCGGUUAAUGAGACCAGAUUGUUUUAUGUAUAAAUGCUAAUAAGCUACUGUUUUAUUAGGCCCCGAACUCUGACCACAAAGGGAAUAACAUCUGUCAAGUUAUUUGUGUUGGAAAAUCCCGAUUGGUUUUUUUGAACUACCAGAAAGGAUUCUGGAGAACCACUGACGGCGAGAACAGCCCAAAUGAGAUCCUGGAUGAUCGUGAAAUGGUGUGGCCAGCCAUGCGAUCGGAUUGUGGAUCUCGCCUGAGAAACUGAUUCAAGCAACCCUGGAUUUCAGAUAAGCCCUAUGCACUACUUUUCCUACCCGGAUAAUAGGGUCUGCACACUGACAAUUCCCCUACAGUACACCUGUUUGGGUUUCAACGACUUUAAAGGACAAUUCAGACUGGACAAUUCAAACUUCACAAGAGGAACACUUUAAUCUGUUCAUUCAUUCAAAAGAGCUCUGAUACGAUUUAGUAUAAGUCUUCCAUUUAAGUGUCUUUAUUUUGUUUUAUUUUGUUCUGUUUUACAUUUAUUCACCUUCAAAAUGCACUAUUAGUGUGCAAUUUGGUUUAUUGUGUUGUAUAUGUUUACAAAUGGUACUGAGGCAAUAAAGGUCCCAGUUAUUCACUUCCAAGCCAACUCCUUUUGUGAGUCUCCAAAACAAAACCUCCUUCUGAACCUAGAAAGAUGUCUAGGGUCUCUAUUUGAGGUGAAAGUGUACUGGUCCUGAGUAGAGGCGCUACAUAUAUAUAAUGCAAAUGUUCUUUGAAACUUAUUUAACACACUGUACUCCUUUUAAAUGGAAUUCCAAAUUUUUUCUAAAAAUUAUAAACGUAAUUAAUUACAUUUUAAAAUAUAUUACCCCCACCCCAAAAAACCAAACACAUAAACAAACAAAACAAAACAAUACAACAACAACAACAACAAAACCCAUCUCAUCCCAAAAAUUACCCAGUCCAAAGUUUAAAUGUUGAAUGUCAUAUUGAUGUACAGAUUGUGGACCAAGUUCAGAUGAUGUAUAGACGUACAGAAUUGGUCAUGGACUGACGGACCAAAUAUAGACAUGGCCUGCAUAUCUAUCCAACAUCCAGUGUUUAGUGGGUAACUACAAAGGAAUUGGCAAGGCUAGGACGCACUUGUUGCCAACACAGUGACUGGUGAAGUUACUGUAGUCAUCUAACUGGAAAAGCCUCGAGGAUAUGGAUAUUUUCUAUUUUUGUGCCUUAACAACAUGUUGCUGUAAUUUCACAGCAGUUUGAAACAACUAUGGAAAUGAAACACAAUUUGUAUGUAUUCCUAUAAAAAAGAACUUAUUAUCAAAUAAAAUGCUUUAGAGUAUUUAUUUAUUUAUGUUUGAUAUUUCUUUUAUUUUUCUUUCUUUUUUUGCAUUUAGACACAGACAUAACAACAGAACUCAGUUUAACGCCAAAGAAUUAAGAGAAGUUGUAAUUCUGACAGCUUUAAUUUGAAAUAUGUUACAAAGUCAUCGUCCUUACAAAAGAAACACUAAAAAAGCAGAAUUUCACUGCAAGCAAAAG